rnacentral:rRNA from 1 species
GGGUUGUGAGGUUAAGCGACUAAGCGUACACGGUGGAUGCCCUGGCAGUCAGAGGCGAUGAAGGACGUGCUAAUCUGCGAUAAGCGUCGGUAAGGUGAUAUGAACCGUUAUAACCGGCGAUUUCCGAAUGGGGAAACCCAGUGUGUUUCGACACACUAUCAUUAACUGAAUCCAUAGGUUAAUGAGGCGAACCGGGGGAACUGAAACAUCUAAGUACCCCGAGGAAAAGAAAUCAACCGAGAUUCCCCCAGUAGCGGCGAGCGAACGGGGAGCAGCCCAGAGCCUGAAUCAGUGUGUGUGUUAGUGGAAGCGUCUGGAAAGGCGCGCGAUACAGGGUGACAGCCCCGUACACAAAAAUGCACAUGCUGUGAGCUCGAUGAGUAGGGCGGGACACGUGGUAUCCUGUCUGAAUAUGGGGGGACCAUCCUCCAAGGCUAAAUACUCCUGACUGACCGAUAGUGAACCAGUACCGUGAGGGAAAGGCGAAAAGAACCCCGGCGAGGGGAGUGAAAAAGAACCUGAAACCGUGUACGUACAAGCAGUGGGAGCACGCUUCGGCGUGUGACUGCGUACCUUUUGUAUAAUGGGUCAGCGACUUAUAUUCUGUAGCAAGGUUAACCGAAUAGGGGAGCCGAAGGGAAACCGAGUCUUAACUGGGCGUUAAGUUGCAGGGUAUAGACCCGAAACCCGGUGAUCUAGCCAUGGGCAGGUUGAAGGUUGGGUAACACUAACUGGAGGACCGAACCGACUAAUGUUGAAAAAUUAGCGGAUGACUUGUGGCUGGGGGUGAAAGGCCAAUCAAACCGGGAGAUAGCUGGUUCUCCCCGAAAGCUAUUUAGGUAGCGCCUCGUGAAUUCAUCUCCGGGGGUAGAGCACUGUUUCGGCAAGGGGGUCAUCCCGACUUACCAACCCGAUGCAAACUGCGAAUACCGGAGAAUGUUAUCACGGGAGACACACGGCGGGUGCUAACGUCCGUCGUGAAGAGGGAAACAACCCAGACCGCCAGCUAAGGUCCCAAAGUCAUGGUUAAGUGGGAAACGAUGUGGGAAGGCCCAGACAGCCAGGAUGUUGGCUUAGAAGCAGCCAUCAUUUAAAGAAAGCGUAAUAGCUCACUGGUCGAGUCGGCCUGCGCGGAAGAUGUAACGGGGCUAAACCAUGCACCGAAGCUGCGGCAGCGACGCUUAUGCGUUGUUGGGUAGGGGAGCGUUCUGUAAGCCUGCGAAGGUGUGCUGUGAGGCAUGCUGGAGGUAUCAGAAGUGCGAAUGCUGACAUAAGUAACGAUAAAGCGGGUGAAAAGCCCGCUCGCCGGAAGACCAAGGGUUCCUGUCCAACGUUAAUCGGGGCAGGGUGAGUCGACCCCUAAGGCGAGGCCGAAAGGCGUAGUCGAUGGGAAACAGGUUAAUAUUCCUGUACUUGGUGUUACUGCGAAGGGGGGACGGAGAAGGCUAUGUUGGCCGGGCGACGGUUGUCCCGGUUUAAGCGUGUAGGCUGGUUUUCCAGGCAAAUCCGGAAAAUCAAGGCUGAGGCGUGAUGACGAGGCACUACGGUGCUGAAGCAACAAAUGCCCUGCUUCCAGGAAAAGCCUCUAAGCAUCAGGUAACAUCAAAUCGUACCCCAAACCGACACAGGUGGUCAGGUAGAGAAUACCAAGGCGCUUGAGAGAACUCGGGUGAAGGAACUAGGCAAAAUGGUGCCGUAACUUCGGGAGAAGGCACGCUGAUAUGUAGGUGAGGUCCCUCGCGGAUGGAGCUGAAAUCAGUCGAAGAUACCAGCUGGCUGCAACUGUUUAUUAAAAACACAGCACUGUGCAAACACGAAAGUGGACGUAUACGGUGUGACGCCUGCCCGGUGCCGGAAGGUUAAUUGAUGGGGUUAGCGCAAGCGAAGCUCUUGAUCGAAGCCCCGGUAAACGGCGGCCGUAACUAUAACGGUCCUAAGGUAGCGAAAUUCCUUGUCGGGUAAGUUCCGACCUGCACGAAUGGCGUAAUGAUGGCCAGGCUGUCUCCACCCGAGACUCAGUGAAAUUGAACUCGCUGUGAAGAUGCAGUGUACCCGCGGCAAGACGGAAAGACCCCGUGAACCUUUACUAUAGCUUGACACUGAACAUUGAGCCUUGAUGUGUAGGAUAGGUGGGAGGCUUAGAAGUGUGGACGCCAGUCUGCAUGGAGCCGACCUUGAAAUACCACCCUUUAAUGUUUGAUGUUCUAACGUUGACCCGUAAUCCGGGUUGCGGACAGUGUCUGGUGGGUAGUUUGACUGGGGCGGUCUCCUCCUAAAGAGUAACGGAGGAGCACGAAGGUUGGCUAAUCCUGGUCGGACAUCAGGAGGUUAGUGCAAUGGCAUAAGCCAGCUUGACUGCGAGCGUGACGGCGCGAGCAGGUGCGAAAGCAGGUCAUAGUGAUCCGGUGGUUCUGAAUGGAAGGGCCAUCGCUCAACGGAUAAAAGGUACUCCGGGGAUAACAGGCUGAUACCGCCCAAGAGUUCAUAUCGACGGCGGUGUUUGGCACCUCGAUGUCGGCUCAUCACAUCCUGGGGCUGAAGUAGGUCCCAAGGGUAUGGCUGUUCGCCAUUUAAAGUGGUACGCGAGCUGGGUUUAGAACGUCGUGAGACAGUUCGGUCCCUAUCUGCCGUGGGCGCUGGAGAACUGAGGGGGGCUGCUCCUAGUACGAGAGGACCGGAGUGGACGCAUCACUGGUGUUCGGGUUGUCAUGCCAAUGGCACUGCCCGGUAGCUAAAUGCGGAAGAGAUAAGUGCUGAAAGCAUCUAAGCACGAAACUUGCCCCGAGAUGAGUUCUCCCUGAC